GUAGGGAAUAUUGCGCAAUGGACGAAAGUCUGACGCAGCAACGCCGCGUGUGGGAUGAAGCUCCUUGGAGUGUAAACCACUGUCGGGGGGGGCGAACGAUCAUAAUUCAAAUAGGGUUAUGGUUUGACGGUACCCCUAAAGGAAGCUCCGGCUAACUCCGUGCCAGCAGCCGCGGUAAUACGGGGGGAGCAAGCGUUGUUCGGAAUCACUGGGCGUAAAGGGUGCGCAGGCGGGAGAUUAAGUCGGAUGUGAAACCCUCAAGCUUAACUUGAGGCCUGCAUUCGAAACUGGUCUUCUUGAGUAUCGGAGAGGAAAGCGGAACUCCAGGUGUAGCGGUGAAAUGCGUAGAUAUCUGGAGGAACACCUGUGGCGAAGGCGGCUUUCUGGCCGAAUACUGACGCUCAUGCACGAAGGCUAGGGGAGCAAACAGGAUUAGAUACCCCUGUAGUCC
rnacentral:rRNA from 1 species